UGAAAGAGAUUUAAAGAUUUUAUCGGUGAUGGAUGGGGAUGCGUCUGAUUUAGCUUUGUUUGGCGGGGGUUAAACGGGCCCACCAAGGCGACGAUCAGUAGGGGUUCUGAGAGGAAGGGUCCCCCACAUUGGAACUGAGACACGGUCCAAACUCCUACGGGAGGCAGCAGUGAGGAAUAUUGGUCAAUGGACGAGAGUCUGAACCAGCCAAGUAGCGUGCAGGAUGACGGCCCUAUGGGUUGUAAACUGCUUUUAUAAGGGAAUAAAGUGGGAGUCGUGACUCUUUUUGCAUGUACCUUAUGAAUAAGGACCGGCUAAUUCCGUG
rnacentral:rRNA from 1 species